rnacentral:rRNA from 1 species
AUUGAACGCUGGCGGCAGGCCUAACACAUGCAAGUCGAACGAGUGGCGGACGGGUGAGUAAUGUCUGGGAAACUGCCCGAUGGCGGGGGAUAACUACUGGAAACGGUAGCUAAUACCGCAUACCAUCGGAUGUGCCCAGAUGGGAUUGGCUAGUAGGUGGGGUAACGGCUCCCCUAGGCGACGAUCCCUAGCUGGUCUGCGAGGAUGACCAGCAACACUGGAACUUAGAAACGGUGCAGACUCCUACGGGAGGAGGCAGUGGGGAAUAUUGCAAAAUGGGCGCAAGCCUGAUGCAGCCAUGCCGCGUGUAUGAAGAAGGCCUUCGGGUUGUAAAGUACUUUCAGCGAGAAGGCGUUACUCGCAGAAGAAGCACCGGCGAACUCCGUGCCAGCAGCCGCGGUAAUUC